rnacentral:rRNA from 1 species
UACGAAGGGGGGCUAGCGUUGCUCGGAAUGACUGGGCGUAAAGGGCGCGUAGGCGGUUUGGACAGUCAGGGCGUGAAAUUCCCGGGCUUAACCUGGGGGCUGCGCUUGAUACAUCCAGGACUUGAGUGGGGAAGAGGGUCGUGGAAUUCCCAGUGUAGAGGUGAAAUUCGUAGAUAUUGGGAAGAACACCGGUGGCGAAGGCGGCGACCUGGUCCUUUACUGGACGCUGAGGCGCGAAAGCGUGGGGAGCAAACAGG